rnacentral:rRNA from 1 species
AUUGAACGCUGGCGGUGUGCUUAACACAUGCAAGUCGAACGGUAGGUACUUCGGUACCGAGAGUGGCGGACGGGUGAGUAACGCGUAGGAAUCUGCCCUGUAGUGGGGGACAACGUGGGGAAACCCACGCUAAUACCGCAUACGCCCCAAGGGGGAAAGCGGGGGACCGUAAGGCCUCGCGCUAUAGGAUGAGCCUGCGUUGGAUUAGCUAGUUGGUAGGGUAAAUGCCUACCAAGGCGACGAUCCAUAGCGGGUCUGAGAGGACGAUCAGCCACACUGGGACUGAGACACGGCCCAGACUCCUACGGGAGGCAGCAGUGGGGAAUAUUGGACAAUGGGCGCAAGCCUGAUCCAGCAAUACCGCGUGUGUGAAGAAGGCCUGAGGGUUGUAAAGCACUUUCAAUGGGGAGGAAAAAGCACGGGCGAAUACCCUGUGCCUUGACAUUACCCAUACAAGAAGCACCGGCUAACUCCGUGCCAGCCGCCGCGGUAAAAC